UCCAGCAGCCAUGUCACUACUGGCAGCCCACUGCAGCUCAGCAGGUGGGAGCCUGGUCAGUACCUGGAUGGGAGACCUCCUGGGAAAAACUAAGGUUGCUGCUGGAA
rnacentral:rRNA from 1 species